UGCCAGACUCCUACGGGAGGCAGCAGUGGGGGAUAUUGGACAAUGGGGGGAACCCUGAUCCAGCGACGCCGCGUGAGUGAAGAAGUAUCUCGGUAUGUAAAGCUCUAUCAGCAGGGAAGAAAAUGACGGUACCUGACUAAGAAGCCCCGGCUAACUACGUGCCGGCAGCCGCGGUAAUACGUAGGGGGCAAGCGUUAUCCGGAUUUACUGGGUGUAAAGGGAGCGUAGACGGCAGCGCAAGUCUGAAGUGAAAUCCCAUGGCUUAACCAUGGAACUGCUUUGGAAACUGUGCAGCUGGAGUGCAGGAGAGGUAAGCGGAAUUCCUAGUGUAGCGGUGAAAUGCGUAGAUAUUAGGAGGAACACCAGUGGCGAAGGCGGCUUACUGGACUGUAACUGACGUUGAGGCUCGAAAGCGUGGGGAGCAAACAGGAUUAGAUACCCGGGUACG
rnacentral:rRNA from 1 species